GAUGAACGCUAGCGGGAGGCCUAACACAUGCAAGCCGAGCGGUAUUGUUUCUUCGGAAAUGAGAGAGCGGCGUACGGGUGCGGAACACGUGUGCAACCUGCCUUUAUCUGGGGGAUAGCCUUUCGAAAGGAAGAUUAAUACUCCAUAAUAUAUUGAACGGCAUCGUUUAAUAUUGAAAGCUCCGGCGGAUAGAGAUGGGCACGCGCAAGAUUAGCUAGUUGGUGAGGUAACGGCUCACCAAGGCGAUGAUCUUUAGGGGGCCUGAGAGGGUGAUCCCCCACACUGGUACUGAGACACGGACCAGACUCCUACGGGAGGCAGCAGUGAGGAAUAUUGGUCAAUGGGUGCAAGCCUGAACCAGCCAUCCCGCGUGAAGGACGACUGCCCUAUGGGUUGUAAACUUCUUUUGUAUAGGGAUAAACCUACCCUCGUGAGGGUAGCUGAAGGUACUAUACGAAUAAGCACCGGCUAACUCCGCGCCAGCAGCCGCGGUAAUACGGAGGGUGCAAGCGUUAUCCGGAUUUAUUGGGUUUAAAGGGUCCGUAGGCGGACUUAUAAGUCAGUGGUGAAAGCCUGUCGCUUAACGAUAGAACUGCCAUUGAUACUGUAAGUCUUGAGUAUAUUUGAGGUAGCUGGAAUAAGUAGUGUAGCGGUGAAAUGCAUAGAUAUUACCUAGAACACCAAUUGCGAAGGCAGGUUACCAAGAUAUAACUGACGCUGAGGGACGAAAGCGUGGGGAGCGAACAGGAUUAGAUACCCUGGUAGUCCACGCCGUAAACGAUGCUAACUCGUUUUUGGGCUUUAGGGUUCAGGGACCAAGCGAAAGUGAUAAGUUAGCCACCUGGGGAGUACGCUCGCAAGAGUGAAACUCGAAGGAAUUGACGGGGGCCCGCACAAGCGGUGGAUUAUGUGGUUUAAUUCGAUGAUACGCGAGGAACCUUACCAAGACUUAAAUGGGAAUUGACAGCUUUAGAAAUAGAGCUUUCUUCGGACAAUUUUCAAGGUGCUGCAUGGUUGUCGUCAGCUCGUGCCGUGAGGUGUUAGGUUAAGUCCUGCAACGAGCGCAACCCCUGUCACUAGUUGCCAUCAUUCAGUUGGGGACUCUAGUGAGACUGCCUACGCAAGUAGAGAGGAAGGUGGGGAUGACGUCAAAUCAUCACGGCCCUUACGUCUUGGGCCACACACGUAAUACAAUGGCCGGUACAGAGGGCAGCUACACAGCGAUGUGAUGCAAAUCUCGAAAGCCGGUCUCAGUUCGGAUUGGAGUCUGCAACUCGACUCUAUGAAGCUGGAAUCGCUAGUAAUCGCGCAUCAGCCAUGGCGCGGUGAAAACGUUCCCGGGCCU
rnacentral:rRNA from 1 species